rnacentral:SRP_RNA from 1 species
GCAGCCGGGGCGUUAGCGGUGCCCUGUACCUACAAUCCGCUCUAGUAGGGGUGAUGUUUUCUCGAGGGUUUUAGCUUGUAUGGCUGCCCUCUAUAAGUGGCGUUGAAGUUUGGGUCUUACGCAAUGCGAAUCCACGAACCGUGUCAGGGCAGGAAUGCAGCAGCACUAAGAGGAAUCUCGUAUGUGCCGUAAGGGUGCCUGGCGGAGUUAACUGUAGAGGUAACGCAUAUGGGUCCGAUUCGACAGAAAACGCA